CCUACGGGAGGCAGCAGUGAGGAAUAUUGGUCAAUGGACGAGAGUCUGAACCAGCCAAGUAGCGUGAAGGAUGACUGCCCUAUGGGUUGUAAACUUCUUUUAUAUGGGAAUAAAAUGUUCCACGUGUGGGAUUUUGUAUGUACCAUAUGAAUAAGGAUCGGCUAACUCCGUGCCAGCAGCCGCGGUAAUACGGAGGAUACGAGCGUUAUCCGGAUUUAUUGGGUGUACAGGGAGCGUAGGUGGAUGGUUAAGUCAGUUGUGAAAGUUUGCGGCUCAACCGUAAAAGUGCAGUUGAAACUGGCAGUGUGGAGUACAGGAGAGGUAGGCGGAAUGCGUGGUGUAGCGGUGAAAUGCUUAGAUAUCACGAAGAACACCGAUGGCGAAGGCAGUUCACUGGACUGCAACUGACACUGAGGCUCGAAAGUGUGGGGAUCAAACAGGAUUAGAUACCCUGGUAGUC
rnacentral:rRNA from 1 species